AAAAACAUGUCUGUUUGUAUAUAUAAAGAGUCUAACCUGCCCACUGAUUAAUUGAAGGGCCGCGGUAUAUUGACCGUGCAAAGGUAGCAUAAUCAUUAGUCUUUUAAUUGAAGGCUUGUAUGAAUGGUUGAACAAAGAAAUAACUGUCUUUUUUAUAAAAAUUGAAUUUAACUUUAAAGUGAGAAGGCUUUAAUUAACUAAGGGGACGAUAAGACCCUAUAAAGCUUUACAUAAUUAUUAUUUUUUAUUGAUUUAUAAGGUUUAAUUUUAAAAAGUAAAACUAUGUUAUGUUGGGGUGACAUGAGUAUAAAUUUUAUAACUGCUUAGUAGUAUACACAUAAUUUAAUGUAAUUAUGAUCCUUAAUAAAGAUUAUCAGAAUAAGUUACUUUAGGGAUAACAGCGUUAUUUUUUUCAAGAGUCCAUAUCGAAAGAAAAAAUUGCGACCUCGAUGUUGAAUUAAAAUUUCUUUAUAAUGCAGCAGUUAUAAUAGAAGGUCUGUUCGACCUUUAAAUUUUUACGUGAUCUGAGUUCAG
rnacentral:rRNA from 1 species